rnacentral:rRNA from 1 species
AACCUGCCCAAGAGAUCGGGAUAACACCUGGAAACAGAUGCUAAUACCGGAUAACAAUAGAUGAUGCCUAUCAACUGUUUAAAAGAUGGUUCUGCUAUCACUCUUGGAUGGACCUGCGGUGCAUUAGCUAGUUGGUAGGGUAACGGCCUACCAAGGCGAUGAUGCAUAGCCGAGUUGAGAGACUGAUCGGCCACAUUGGGACUGAGACACGGCCCAAACUCCUACGGGAGGCAGCAGUA